GGUCUUCAGGGAAGGACUGAUGGCAUCCUGGGUUAAAUGUGUGACACUCUCUAACCUUAUUCCAAUAGUUGGCAAUUCUGCUGAACUCAGUGUUUUCGCCCAAAGCCUAGCUCUGUGCCUCCUGUGUAAGCAGCCCCAUGGUCUACCACUACCCAAGCAAGAACCUGGUGCAUUUUUGGUUUUUCCCAUCCCUGAGUCUUGGCAAUUCCACCAUCUGCCUUCCAACUAUCAUCUCUCUCUCUCUCCUUGAGCACUGCUAUCUCCAGAUAAGCAAAGGACAGGAGGUGGCAGUGUGAUAAAGAACCCUGGGUGCAGGUGCAAGGCUUUCUGUCUUAGGAAUUGUGGUCCAGGCUACACUCACUGCUCACAGCUCACUCCCAAGUGCCCUAUUGUUACCCAACAGGCAAGAGCAAAACUGUCGAACAGCAGUCCAGUUGUGCCAAACUGCUAGCAGCCUUGAGCCAUGGCUCCAGCCUCAGUGCCUCUGAUCAUCCUGACCCCUACUGGGCAGCUGAAUGUCACAGCCCCUGUUCUGUCUGUCUGUUCCGCACGCUCUGGGCAGCAUGACCUUGACUUACACACUGGCUUCCUUCCCAGGUGAUACCUGCUCCCCAAGUGUCCUCAUCAUAUUCCUGGUGUAUUCGGCAGGUCUGUGUGUGGUGUGUUUGUGAAUGCACGGGUACAUUUGAUUAUGGAGACUAGUCUCUCUCUCUCUCUCUCUCUCUCUCUCUCUCUCUCACACACACACACACACACACACACACACACACACACACACACAUUUAUAUAAUAUGUUCCCUGUUGUCCUAUCAUGUCCUUCCCUUCCUGCCAAAUCUCUACAUUCCCCCAUUAAGACCCUCCUCCUACUUUCAAGUCUUUUUUAAUAGAAAAAAUUUUUUGUGUGUCUGUGUGUGUGUUAUAUUUACUUGAAUGAGAGAAACUUGCCAAUGGCUAUAUAGAAGGAAGAUGACCCUCCCCUAGAAACCAUUAACUUUUUCUAGCUACCCAGGGAUGGGUAGGGCAUUAGGAACACCUCCCAAUCCAUGCUGGAAUUACGUGACUUCUCUAAAUCAGCCCGUGCUGCCAUGAGCCUAGGGUACAACAGCCACAUGUCCAGAAGACAAUAUUUCUUACCACUCCUCAUCCUAUGACUCUUACAUUCUUU
rnacentral:lncRNA from 1 species